CCUACGGGAGGCAGCAGUGGGGAAUAGUGGACAAUGGGGGCAACCCUGAUCCAGCCAUGCCGCGUGUGUGAAGAAGGCCCUCGGGUUGUAAAGCACUUUCAGUGAGGAAGAACGCCUGGUGGUUAAUACCCAGCAGGAAAGACAUCACUCACAGAAGAAGCACCGGCUAACUCCGUGCCAGCAGCCGCGGUAAUACGGAGGGUGCGAGCGUUAAUCGGAAUUACUGGGCGUAAAGCGCGCGUAGGUGGCUUGAUAAGCCGGUUGUGAAAGCCCCGGGCUCAACCUGGGAACGGCAUCCGGAACUGUCAAGCUAGAGUGCAGGAGAGGAAGUUAGAAUUCCCGGUGUAGCGGUGAAAUGCGUAGAGAUCGGGAGGAAUACCAGUGGCGAAGGCGGCCUUCUGGACUGACACUGACCCUGAGGUGCGAAAGCGUGGGUAGCAAACAGGAUUAGAUACCCUAGUAGUC
rnacentral:rRNA from 1 species